rnacentral:snRNA from 1 species
GUGCUUGCUUCAGCACCACAUAUACUAAAAUAGGAAAGAUACAGAGAAGAUUAGCAUGGCCCCUAUACAAGGACGACAUGUAAAUUUGUGAAGCAUUCCAUACUUUU